rnacentral:lncRNA from 1 species
CUCAAAGUGAAAUUUGAAUCAUUAUUUUAUCUAAAUUGGGAAAGGCAGGCAUUACGAAAUACACCAAAACCUGUUAGAUGGUGACACCACCUUGGCACAUCAAAACUACAACAGACUAAUGUACUCACCAGAUGGGCGAGCCUUGUAGGAGGAGGGCACUUGCUGUUCUUGACAAUGUUUAUCUCACUCAGUAAUCUUGACUUGCUGGGACAUGGUGGGACGACGCACUUGGCUGUACUGGGAGGACAGAGCUUUGUGGGGGUAUUGCCGAGGGCUUCAGGCUGCUGCGUCUUCACUGAGAUAGUCAUCAGGUGUCUAAUCGCACUAGCUUUUAUGUGUCAGUAUGUUAUGGUGUACUUAUUGAGGAAUAAAAUCGUUUAAAUGAACGCCAAUUUUUUUCUUGAGUUUACCAUGGAUAUUUUCACUAGUGAUUCAAAGCACUGCUAUUUUUUUUUUUUUUUUUGUUCGCUGUGAAUUUCCAUAACAUGACCCUGAGUCUACUCCGAACACUUAUUAUUCAGAAUAAACAAUAAUCGUGUUGUUUGUGUAAAUCAUGUCUUGCACGAAUCGAGCCUCUUGAUGCUACACAUUCCUUAUGUUCCACUUUGCUAAUAUGCUGCUGGCAUGGGAGCGUCACGCCCCCUCAGCAAUAUUCGUAUUUUAAAUUUAGACAUUCUGCCACCCCACCUCGAGGAGUGUGGAGGUGGCGCGUAGGUGUUCGUGGUGUGGGCCGCACCAAUGAAGCAACAGUUGUUGGAGGCAGCGGGCGUCAGGCAGGCCACCCCGGGGUGAAGAGUAAGACUCUCAGGGUGCCAGUGACGAUCCACCCGGGUGCCACAGCUUACCGCCCCACGUUGGUUGAUGAGGCAGCCUGGCCAAACACUGAGGCCAUCUCCCCUCUACCGCGCGCUGGGUUCUUCGACACGCCCACCACCCGCCAGGCCACUCCCUCGAGCCCACACCCGCCGCCACCUCGUUUCUCAUCCGUCCCCUCCUCCAUUCACCCGAGCACUGUCAAUGAGAAUGCUGAUAUAGGCAAUUAUAUUUGGCACUAUUUUAGUUUUUGUGUGUGAAAAUAUACAUUUCCACAAUGUACUAAGCUUUGUUCUUUGCGUACGGUCCGGUACUUGCUCGCCUUUCACUCUAUUGGUAUUCAUGGCAAAGCUAAGCUAGCAGUAUUGGGAAUAGUGCAUUUAAUCAAUUGUUUGUAGGUUGUUGUACUGAUAAGAAGUGAGUGAAGCAAGCAGGGUGAAUGAACGGGGGCACAGAGCUGGACCAAGGCGGGUGGAAGUGGGCGGAGCGAGGGCGUCAGACUCCGCCUCUCUGCGAGGAAGGCGCCCUCCGCAAGCCAGUGGUUCCAGUGUACUUGCCGUGCCCGCUAAGGACCGCGUCUGUGCUACUGGCCUCUCUUCGCACCUCAACCACCUCCACACACCAGCACACCCCUGUGCCCUGGCCUCGCACGCCCACCACCUCACUUAUCAAGUGUUUAUACUAAAGUUACCAGCAACUCUCCUGGCGUGAGCCAGGUGUUGAUCGCUGGAGUCGGAGUCUACCGGGCCAGCAGGUCGCACCACAAGGAGCGGUGGCCCUAGUUAUUAAUUGCACUAGACUUCCUAUACCCCUUUGCCAUGUGAGUUGUGCUACCUGGAGAACGCUGUGUGGGGUGUGCAGGGAGUCGUGAGUGGCAGUGUUGAGUGCCGUGGGACGCGAGGACUGAUGACGCUGCUCGUCUCGCAGCAGCCACACCCCAGGAUGUACACAUUUGAACCCCGAAUGUAAUUCACUGCACCAAGUUCAGCUGCCCUUCGUGGACGUCGUAGCGGUGGAUUUAUGCAGUGAAUUCAUGCUGGAAGCCUGUGUCUGAUAUAUACUUGUGAAAAUUUGUGAAUAAGUGUUGUGAAAAAUCCAAUGCUG